rnacentral:misc_RNA from 1 species
CGCGUGCUUGCACAUGACCUGGACGUGCGACACCGCCUCGGAAGAGUACAUGCGCACCGGAAAGGGCCCGAAAAGAAAACAUAAGCGAUCACACAACGAGCAGACGAAAAAAAAGGACGCCCUGCCACACUUGCAGAAUGGCAGUGAACAUGCGCAACUGCAUAGACACCUUGGGGCUAUGUCGAAGAACGCGCAUGCUGCUCUCUUCCCCCCUCCCCCGAGAUGCAUGUGGGCACUUGGGUUGCGCGUGCGCUGCGACGCCUAUCGAGCGCGCGGUCUCAUGAGUGAGCGGCAUCGUCUCCUCGUUCCUCUCCCCGUUGCAGGCGCUAUGCGAAGCGAGCUCACAAACGCGUCGUACGGCGGCGGAGAGGAGAGAGGGACGGGUAUGCAUCGCCACCGGUUAUCAUUCCUUCUUCUUCCCAUGUGUAGCGUUGCCUCCAUCGCCGCCUCUUCCAUGUUUUCUUCACGGCUUCUCCUUCGCUAUACUCCCUCGUCGUUGUAUGCUUCUCACUGCUGCACCCCCUCUUCCGCUUCUCUCUCAUGCACGCUGCACCGCAUAACUCUGAAUGGGCCGCAUCUGCAUUCUUCUGUGCCCCACACGCAUACACAUACGUGCACAUGCACAUAUAUGUGUGUGUGUGCACCUAUAUCGACACAUGUAUUUCCCCUCCCCCCACCCCCAACGGAUGAGGUGACCUCAG